GCCUUCUCGAGAUAGAAAGCUAUCGUGGCAGUGAUCAGGAUUACCAAAGCGUUGCGACAGAUGGAAAGAAACCACAACAGUUUCUUCAGAGACAGAAUGUAUAAAAUUAUUAUUAAAUUCAAAGAAAAAAAAAAAAAAGGAGCUGAAACUGCAUUCCUUCAUCUCACGAUGGGAACAUCUUGAAUCAGGCUUACUUUGAAGAAUAAAAGGAACGCUAUACUGCAAAUUCCAAGAACGAAAUCCGGCAUCCGUAUGUCUCUGACGUUUUGGAAUAUCUUGAUCAAAUUGCCAAUAAUAUUGUGCGCCUUGAACCUCAGUCCCAAUAGCCCUUGCAAUUGAGAUACGAUUAUAAUGAUUGAAGUGGCGGAAGUGAAACCUGACGUGACUGGCAUCGAUAUAAAAUCUACUAAGAAGCCUGUACGAAGAAAUUUCAUCGUUUAAAAUAUACUCUAAGGCGGUACAAACAAUGAUAUACGAUACUUGUUUCAAAUAGUUGUUGUAUAACUCAGUUGUAAAAAAAGUGGAACGUUCAAUUUGCUUUGUUUUUUUUUUCUUUUUUUCUUUUUAAGUUAUUUGGAGCAAUUUCGUAAGUGUCAAUUUUAUUUGCAUUGUUGCAAUUGACAUUAUAAUGACAGAUUAUUUUCAGCAGUAACGCUCGUCAAAGACCAGUAAACCACAUCGAGAAUUUAUAAAAUGCAAUAUUUUCUAUAAGGAAGCGAGAAAGGAUAGUCAUUUUUAAGAAAUGGUCUUUCCUCAUAUGUUGUAUAAUAAUUAGAUUGAUUGAUUUUCACGCAUUUGUGAACAAUUUAAAGUUGCAAAAAUGCAAAAUACUACAAAAUAUAGUAUGAUAGGUGGCAAAGUUUUUCAUUUAGAAGUGCCACUUAUUUAAUGUUUUAUGUGUAAUGAUAUUUGUACAACAAUAAUCCCAACGAAUAAUCCUUAAUAUAAAGGAUAAAAACUAAAGGAGUUUCGAGUUGAAGCAAAUUGUUACGAACACUAUCUUCCCUUAUUGAAUCAGAAGGAUAAUCGCUGUCACGAGUAUGACUCGAUUUAUAAAGCAAGGGGUUAAGAGGAAAAGCAAUCUGUGCGUGUACUGUACGUGUAUGCACAUACAUAUAUAAUAUAUUAAAUCGCGCAUUUGUCCAGAAUGCACGAGGAAACCUUCGAAAGCAAUAAACGAACAUUUAAAGUAAUAAACGAAUAUUUAAAUUGUUGUGUUAAACAAUUAGUUAAGAUAUGAAAAAGGAUGUAAUUUAUUACAAAAUCUGUUCACACUGUGAAUAUUUUCGUUUCCUGCCUUAGCCUCGUCGUACAUUUUGGAGAUUCGCUAAUUUCGCGUAUCAAGAAAUUAGCGAAUUAGUACCUUUCAUAAAUAAUCUCUCGUGACGUAUUUUCCUUACGUGAUUAUUUACUUAACCGAGAUAAUUAAUCUAAGUGGACUUUAAUCCAGGAUUUAUCGUUUACCAUGUCACUUUACAUUAGAUUAUAUUAUACUAGGAAGUAGUAAUGUCAAAUACCAAAUAUCAAACAUAAUAAUGAAACGAGUGAUUAAAGUACUGGUAAUUGUUGGAUAUGAACAAUUUGCUAAAAUUAAUAUUUGGCUGGGUUAUCGGUUCAGGCAGCUCGAUGUAAAAAUUUGCCAAUUGCAAAUUUUGGCGAGGAUCUAAUAUCUCUGAAAGCAAUAAAACCACAAUAAAUAGAGACAAAUGACUGAUAGUCAAGAUAUACUAUACUAGAGUAUCUCUGACAUAAAACUAGUUAAGAUUUUUGAAAAUUAAUUUGAUCGAUACGAGCCUAAAUGUAGCAAGCCCAUCAGUAGCUCCAUGCAUCCGGCGAGAAAACAAAAAAGCACGACAAAAUCCACUGGCAUGUUUCUGGUGUAUUCAAAAGUGAGAAG